AAGCAGUGGGAGCACGCUUAGGCGUGUGACUGCGUACCUUUUGUAUAAUGGGUCAGCGACUUAUAUUCUGUAGCAAGGUUAACCGAAUAGGGGAGCCGAAGGGAAACCGAGUCUUAACUGGGCGUUAAGUUGCAGGGUAUAGACCCGAAACCCGGUGAUCUAGCCAUGGGCAGGUUGAAGGUUGGGUAACACUAACUGGAGGACCGAACCGACUAAUGUUGAAAAAUUAGCGGAUGACUUGUGGCUGGGGGUGAAAGGCCAAUCAAACCGGGAGAUAGCUGGUUCUCCCCGAAAGCUAUUUAGGUAGCGCCUCGUGAAUUCAUCUCCGGGGGUAGAGCACUGUUUCGGCAAGGGGGUCAUCCCGACUUACCAACCCGAUGCAAACUGCGAAUACCGGAGAAUGUUAUCACGGGAGACACACGGCGGGUGCUAACGUCCGUCGUGAAGAGGGAAACAACCCAGACCGCCAGCUAAGGUCCCAAAGUCAUGGUUAAGUGGGAAACGAUGUGGGAAGGCCCAGACAGCCAGGAUGUUGGCUUAGAAGCAGCCAUCAUUUAAAGAAAGCGUAAUAGCUCACUGGUCGAGUCGGCCUGCGCGGAAGAUGUAACGGGGCUAAACCAUGCAC
rnacentral:rRNA from 1 species